GACGAACGCUGGCGGCGUGCUUAACACAUGCAAGUCGAACGGAAAGGCCCUGCUUUUGUGGGGUGCUCGAGUGGCGAACGGGUGAGUAACACGUGAGUAACCUGCCCUUGACUUUGGGAUAACUUCAGGAAACUGGGGCUAAUACCGGAUAGGAGCUCCUGCUGCAUGGUGGGGGUUGGAAAGUUUCGGCGGUUGGGGAUGGACUCGCGGCUUAUCAGCUUGUUCGUGGGGUAGUGGCUUACCAAGGCUUUGACGGGUAGCCGGCCUGAGAGGGUGACCGGCCACAUUGGGACUGAGAUACGGCCCAGACUCCUACGGAAGGCAGCAGUGGGGAAUAUUGCACAAUGGGCGGAAGCCUGAUGCAGCAACGCCGCGUGCGGGAUGGCGGCCUUCGGGUUGUAAACCGCUUUCGCCUGUGACGAAGCGUGAGUGACGGUAAUGGGUAAAGAAGCACCGGCUAACUACGUG
rnacentral:rRNA from 1 species